rnacentral:rRNA from 1 species
ACGCUCGACACCUACGGGAGGUAGCAGUGGGGGAUAUUGCACAAUGGGGGGAAACCCGUGAUGCAGCGACGCCGCGUGAGGGAAGACGGUCUUCGGAUUGUAAACCUCUGUCUUUAGGGACGAAAAAAUAGACGGUACCUAAGGAGGAAGCCACGGCUAACUACGUGCCAGUAGCCGCGGUAAUCUGAGCGGGCUGGCAAGGC